AGACCAGCUUGCUCCUCUGUCUUGCUCAAGUCUGGCAGGCUGCAUCCGCGACCGGGCAUGACUUCGCUUCCGUGUACGCACGUGCACGCUGGUGGUAGUGCAGUGGUUGACCCACCGCGCUACGGACCUGCCGAUCUGCGUUCGAUUCCCGCUCACGGGCAACAUCGGCCAUUAUCGGAAGUACUCGAGUCCCCUGACGAGCAGGAACUUCUCAAGGAAGAGCUCGGAGUCGAGCACGGCGAUGUGGGCCGCGCGGCCGAUGAUGGAGUUCGCCGUGUUGGGCAGCGCGUGCACCACGUCGUAGCGCACCAGGCGGCACCGCUCGGACGCCAGCACGGGCCCAAGCAGACGGCUGGAUGGACGGAUUGAUGGAUGACCCUACGGAUGGACGGACUGAAGACCAAUCGAUGGACUAAAGACCGACACAGCAAUGGACGGACAGACAGACGGCCAGGUGGAUGGACUGUAACGACAGGAUCUGGAAGGUGCGGCUGGACACGGAGGCGGGGCCUAACACCGUGGCCUGUGACACCGGGUCCCCUCCUGUGUGUGGCAGAAAGAAAACGGAGAGGGAUGGAGCACGUUUUUUAAGAAUCGCAUCACGGACGGACAGGAACGAGCUCGGGACCAAGAAUGCAACGUUCACACUUAUGUUUGACAGCGCAGUACAGCGUGGCUGGAGGACCAAGGUAUAGGAGGAGAUGAUCUUUAUGGCGGUACCUCAGGGUACCAAAUAAUACAAAAUGGCCCAGGCAAUUAAAUAUUUUAUUUCUGGGACACAAUUUUUUCAGGGGUGUACUUAACUCCGUGACUGGGGCACCAAUCAAUUCGAAAUCAGUGCUACUCCGUGAUGUCGAAACGCAGCGAGGAUGAUUGCGCCGAAACCCUGAACGCUCGUGGUACGCACCGUAGUGGUGCAUCGUGUACAGCUCGUCGAGAUGAGUCCAUUGCCGCAUCGCCGAUCAUCAACAGACUAUGCGAGAGCCGGGGUACUAUGGUACCCCGGGGUACCGCCAUAAGGUUCAUAUGUGAAAAGGUCAGAUAAGUGAACGGCAACAGGAACUUAUUGGUAACACCGUGCACACAUUGGACAACAAUGAAGAGGAAAACUAUUUUAAACAUGGGAAAAUAAUGGAGUAAUGGGAUUAACAAUUUAACAGUACGGUACAUUACUAUUCCAUUUAGAAUGAUAAUGAGUCUUCCCUGAAAAAAAGAGAAAAAAAAGGUACCAGUGUAAAGUAAUGAACAUUUAAUGGCUUUUUAACUCUGAAAAUAACUCUGUUAAUCGUUUUUUUUUUCUGUUUUAAGGAUCUCUGUUGUGUAGUCAUGUUUACCAACGAUUGGACAAGCGUUAGCAGCGCUGGCUCAGCCUCAGCCUGCCACUUCUUUGGUCAGCCUCUUUAUUCGAACAUUUGGACUCCAAUUCGCCUUCAAUGGCUCUUCGAGGUACAAUUACUCUGCUGUCUUUUCCCAAUUGCGUGACUCUCUGAUGGACGUCUCCAAUUGUUCGGCGGGCUCUGUUUUUUUGCUGGUAUUUAAACUGAGUCCAACUUUGCAGCCUUCUUUAUGACAGAGCUUAAAACAUCAUUGACAAUAUUUUGCACAAUUUUGGCAAAAAGUUAAACCACAUAUCCCACCAAAGUGACACAAACCAGGCUACAAAACAACGAUUGAGUUGUUAAUUUUGAUGAAACACAAAAAAAACCACAUACACAACGAUGUUAACCUCUGCCCUCCGGGAUACCUUAGCCCUGCCAUGCAAAAAAACACAGUCCUGCACAAAAUCUCGCACGCUAAAUUGUAUUUCGGCAGCAAAUGAAAAUUUCUAUGGCUACCACUUAAGUUUUUCUGUUCUCAUGAAAAUGGAAGAGCGUGCGUGGUCAAUAGUGGAUAAUUGUGUCCGAUUCGAGGGGUGGCACUUGAUAAGUGCACUGGAUUAAAACUUAAAUCUGUGCAUAAUGGAACCACUUCAGGCCAUUAAAUAAAAAAAAACUCUCUCCGAUGCGGUUUCGGGUCGUACUGCAUGUUGUUUGGCAUAAUGUCCCGACUUUUCACUGCAUGUGCUGGAAGCUGCUCAAGAAACUCCCAGAAAGAAUGAUCACUGACAACCACAGUUACAUUCUCACAAAGAGGUACAUCUUUCAUUGACCACAAAUGGAUGAAGGGAUGAGUCGAG